UACGGAAGGGGCUAGCGGUGUUCGGAAUUACUGGGCGUAAAGAGCGCGUAGGCGGCUUACCAAGUUGGGGGUGAAAUCCCGGAGCUCAACUCCGGAACUGCCUUCAAAACUGGUAGGCUCGAGUCCGGAAGAGGGGCGUGGAAUUCCCAGUGUAGAGGUGAAAUUCGUAGAUAUUGGGAAGAACACCGGUUGCGAAGGCGGCGCCCUGGUCCGGUACUGACGCUGAGGCGCGAAAGCGUGGGGAGCAAUCAGG
rnacentral:rRNA from 1 species